GUGUCUGUAGCUCAGCGGUAGAGUUCCAGAUUGUGGAUCUGGCUGUCGUGGGUUCGAGACCCACCAGACACC
rnacentral:tRNA from 2 species